UGGGGAAUAUUGGACAAUGGGCGAAAGCCUGAUCCAGCAAUGUCGCGUGAAUGAUGAAGGCCUUAGGGUUGUAAAGUUCUUUCGGUGGGGAAGAUAAUGACGGUACCCACAUAAGAAGCUCCGGCUAACUCCGUGCCAGCAGCCGCGGUAAUACGGAGGGAGCUAGCGUUGUUCGGAAUUACUGGGCGUAAAGAGCGCGUAGGCGGCUAACUAAGUUGGGAGUGAAAUCCCAGGGCUUAACCCUGGAAUGGCUUUCAAAACUGGUUAGCUAGAGGACGAUAGAGGAUGGUGGAAUUCCUAGUGUAGAGGUGAAAUUCUUAGAUAUUAGGAGGAACAUCGGAGGCGAAGGCGACCAUCUGGGUCGUAUCUGACGCUGAGGCGCGAAAGCGUGGGGAGCAAACAGGAUUAGAUACCCGUGUAGUCC
rnacentral:rRNA from 1 species